rnacentral:rRNA from 1 species
GACGAACGCUGGCGGCGUGCCUAAUACAUGCAAGUAGAACGCUGAAGAGAGGAGCUUGCUCUUCUUGGAUGAGUUGCGAACGGGUGAGUAACGCGUAGGUAACCUGCCUUGUAGCGGGGGAUAACUAUUGGAAACGAUAGCUAAUACCGCAUAACAAUGGAUGACACAUGUCAUUUAUUUGAAAGGGGCAAUUGCUCCACUACAAGAUGGACCUGCGUUGUAUUAGCUAGUAGGUGAGGUAAUGGCUCACCUAGACGACGAUACAUAGCCGACCUGAGAGGGUGAUCGGCCACACUGGGACUGAGACACGGCCCAGACUCCUACGGGAGGCAGCAGUAGGGAAUCUUCGGCAAUGGGGGCAACCCUGACCGAGCAACGCCGCGUGAGUGAAGAAGGUUUUCGGAUCGUAAAGCUCUGUUGUAAGUCAAGAACGGGUGUGAGAGUGGAAAGUUCACACUGUGACGGUAGCUUACCAGAAAGGGACGGCUAACUACGUG